UGUUCCCUGCGGCGUUUGCAGUUCGCUGGGUUUUUUCUUGAGCCUAAUUCCUAAGCCAGGGACAGAAACGGUCAUUGAUGUGAGCAUGUCCGCAACGUGCGGAAAGCCUAAUUCCUUGACCAGCACGUCCCACCUGAACCUCCGGUUCAAGGGCGAAAGCGUACUACGGCGCAGGCGGAGGACAC
rnacentral:other from 1 species